AGACAGUGCAUGAUUAAUGCAAAACAAUAUGAAUAAAUAAGCAUUAAGUUUGACAGAGAAAUCUGAAUGGCAAAGGGUUUCACGAGAAUUCCAUGAU